rnacentral:tRNA from 2 species
GCCGCUUUAGCUCAGCUGGUAGAGCACCGCAUUCGUAAUGCGGGGGUCGCGUGUUCAAAUCACGCAAGCGGCACCA